UAAAUAAGAAAUGACUAAAUGCAAAAGACAAAGUGAAAUGUUUCAUACUUUGAAUGACUCUUCGUUUGUCUGGUGGUGGAGUUGCACCACCCUUCUUUUUUGCAUCCAGUCAAGAUCCUCCAGCGAGAUCCUACUGAGGCUGCACUCAGCUG